UACGUAGGGUGCAAGCGUUGUCCGGAAUUAUUGGGCGUAAAGAGCUCGUAGGCGGUCUGUUGCGUCGGCUGUGAAAACCCGGGGCUCAACUCCGGGCCUGCAGCCGAUACGGGCAGACUAGAGUUCGGCAGGGGAGACUGGAAUUCCUGGUGUAGCGGUGAAAUGCGCAGAUAUCAGGAGGAACACCGGUGGUGUAGACGGCUCUCUGGACCGUAACUGACGCUGAGACACGAAAGCGUGGGUAGCAAACAGG
rnacentral:rRNA from 1 species